CCUACGGGAGGCAGCAGUGGGGAAUAUUGCACAAUGGGGGCAACCCUGAUGCAGCGACGCCGCGUGAAUGAAGAAGUCAUUCGUUAUGUAAAGCUCUAUCAGCAGGGAAGAAAAUGACGGUACCUGUGUACGAAGCGCUGGCUAACUACGUGCCAGCAGCCGCGGUAAUACGUAGGGGGCAAGCGUUAUCCGGAUUUACUGGGUGUAAAGGGAGUGUAGACGGCAGUGCAAGUCUGGUGUGAAAGGCGGGGGCUCAACCCGCGGAUUGCACUGGAAACUGUACGGCUGGAGUACAGGAGAGGUAAGUGGAAUUCCUGGUGUAGCGGUGAAAUGCGUAGAUAUGAGGAGGAACACCAGUGGCGAAGGCGGCUUACUGGACUGUAACUGACGUUGAGGCUCGAAAGCGUGGGGAGCAAACAGGAUUAGAUACCCGUGUAGUC
rnacentral:rRNA from 1 species